UACGGGGGGAGCAAGCGUUGUUCGGAUUUACUGGGCGUAAAGGGCGCGUAGGCGGCGUAACAAGUCACUUGUGAAAUCUCCGGGCUUAACCCGGAGCGGCCAAGUGAUACUGUUGUGCUAGAGUGCGGAAGGGGCUACUGGAAUUCUCGGUGUAGCAGUGAAAUGCGUAGAUAUCGAGAGGAACACCAGUGGCGAAGGCGAGUCUCUGGACGACACCUGACACUGAGGCACGAAAGCUAGGGGAGCAAACAGG
rnacentral:rRNA from 1 species